UACGAAGGGGGCUAGCGUUGCUCGGAAUCACUGGGCGUAAAGGGUGCGUAGGUGGCUCUAUAAGUAUGGUGUGAAAUCUCCCGGCUUAACUGGGAGGGUGCGCCGUAGACUGUGGGGCUAGAGUGUGGGAGAGGAAAGUGGAAUUCCUGGUGUAGCGGUGAAAUGCGUAGAUAUCAGGAGGAACACCGGUGGUGUAAACGGCUUUCUGGACCAUAACUGACACUGAGGCACGAAAGCGUGGGUAGCAAACAGG
rnacentral:rRNA from 1 species